rnacentral:lncRNA from 1 species
UUUCCUAUCGGAGAGGGGAACCUUACUAGGAUUGAUUGGUGAUCGGGUUGUAGCUAGAGCUGAAGCAGGUGCAGGGUUUGAAGCAGAAGUGGUCUCGAUUGCUAGUCUUUUUCGGUGCACACUUUCCUCCAACCCAUGAACUGAUUUCCUCCUCUGUGGAAGCUUCAUCUUGGGAGCCAUUUGCACAGGCAGGACUAGCACG